ensembl:lncRNA
CACUGACCCCUUAAAUGCGUCUGCUAAAAACCAUGUCCUGAAGAGACUCAGGUUUCUCAUCUGUGAAGUUGGAAACCUACUACAGAGGACUCUGUAAGGACUGUUGCAGAUCACAGAAGCCUUUGGCUUCAUGGUGCCUGGCACACAGAGCUACUGGAUUCGUGGGCACCAUCUGGAUUUCCAACAGGGAUUAAGCUCUUGUGUCCCAGGGUCCUCAGCAGCAAAAUGGGUAGUAAUGAGCCUUCCUGCCUCCUGGGGUUAUUGUGAGGCUUGAUGCAUACAUCCAGCACCUGUUAUCCAGCUUAUGAGGGCACGACUUGGAAGAAAUCAGCAAGAUGUCUCUGCUAUGGCCACCUGGGCCUCAGAGGGGGACCAACCCCCACCCCCCGCCACGAUGCUGCUAAGUGAUCACAGAGCUGAGACGGCGAUCACCAUGACCAGAUGGAGCCAUUUCUCUUCCUGGCUGGGGCCCCAAAGAAAGAAAGGGCCAUGGAGGAGGCCCCAUGAGGGGUCUCCUGCCUCUCACUGGGAGUCCCCACUGCCCCUCCCAGCCUGGAGUCCCCUCAACCUAGAGCUCUGGAGAGGAGGAGGCCACACCCCCUCCCUCCCCUCCAUGCUGAGAAGCCCGUCACCAUCAACCCCACGCGAGGCCUUUCUUUGUCUUGGCCGGUGAGGACAGAAGGGGAAGCACCUGCUUCCAACGUCCGGUAUGACCUGGAAAUAAAUGGUCCCCGCGUCCUCCCCACUCUCACAAUGGCCCCGGGUGGGCUAAAGCUUGAAGAUGACAAUCCCUGACCAGUUUGAAGGGAGAGACGGGUCCCAGCCCUUUGCGGUUCUACCAUAAAUUCACCACUUACUGGG